rnacentral:tRNA from 1 species
GCGGGUGUAGCUCAAUGGUAGAGCGCGAGUUUUCCAAACUUGAUACGAGAGUUCGAUUCUCUUCACCCGCU